GCAGGUAGUGAACAUCUGUUGGAAAGAAAAAAAUACCUCGGCAGAUUUCCCAAAGGAUUACGUAAAUAAAGCAUUAUUUAAACUUGUAAAACCAUUUGCUAAGGUCUUGUGGUGCCACGGGUUCUGCUUCAGUAAGAUAAAAUUCCAAGGAAACAGCAGAUGCUCCUCCUUGCCUCAGUUUGCUUGUUGCCCCCAGAUCACUCACCCAUUGAAUCAUCCAUUGCUCUGGGAGAUGGUAGAUUCAGAUCAGUCAAGGUUCUGAAGAGAGUCAAGUAUUUUGAAAACUUCUGGUAAUAGAGCCAGAGCCAAGAUUUGGGUAGAAAUUUUUUUUUUUGAGUUUUUAGAGAUUGGGGAAGAAUUCAGUAUGAUGGAAGAGCUUGUUUCACCUCUUCAGGGAUAUUCAGUCAAGUGAGAUUCAUUGGUAGAGGAGGAUGCUCAAGGCAGACAGGAAAGCUUCGACUCUGUUCUUUCAGCAGUUUGGCUGCAGUGGGGUCAAAUAUGCCUGUGAACAAAGAUCCAGCAGGACAAGAACACUGUCAUAGAUGUCAGCCUGUGAUGGGCCCAUAUGGAGGAGAAGACCGGCCCCUCACACUGCACUGUAACUUCCAUGCCCCAGGAACUAAGCUCACCUCCAGGCAGAGGGAUGUGGAGUGGGGUAAAAUGUUAUAUUGACCAUUUAUCCAAAGGAGAGCCAGCGGAAAAAUCCAGAAAAGAAAGGUUUACCUUGAAAUGGAAAGUUCUAGAUUCUCUCAACCAGUGAAAAGUGGGGGCUGAGAACAAAAUAAAAUGCAAUUAUUGCAAAAUAGUUUCAUUUUUACAUACCCAAGUUGGUGACUUUAAAUCUUGUACCUGCACUAGAAUUUGGUAGUCUGAAUAAAGUAACUGCUACAUAAAUCCCCAUUUGUAUCCAGUGAUUUUUAUUGAAUUCCUAGUAUGUGCCAACCACUGUUCUAGGUGCUAGAGAGAGUGUAGUGAACAAAAUAAGUUUCUGCUCCCUUGGGUGGGAAGGACAGACAGUAAACAAAUAAAUCUAUAUGCCAGGUGUUGAAUUCUAUGAAGUCAAAUAAGGUGGGUAUGGAGUGUGCACUUGAUGUGUAUCCUUGUGUGGUGUGAGUAGGGGUAUGUCUGGACGGAUGUGUGUAUGUGUUUGUGUGUGCACACGCCCCCGCGCUGCAUGUUCUCUUGUACAAUUUUCUAUCAGCUGAUAUGGGAAGACCUCACAGAUAAGGUAGUGCUUUAUCUUGGAAAAACCAAAUCACUCUCUGGGGAAAGUAUUCCAGGCAGAAAAAACAGCAAGUGUCAAGGUUUGAGUGGACUUGAAUGAGUGAAUGGCUGUAUUUUUCCUUAAAAAAAUCACUAAUCCCCUCUCACCCAAAUUUAUUGUUUGGUUUUGCCUAUUUUUGAACUUUGUACAUUUUCUUCUGUGACUUGCUUUUUUCCCCUUGCUUAAUAUAAAGCUUUUGAGAUUGCUUCAUGGUGACAUGUUGCUGUAGUUCACUGAUACCCCUACUGUGUCCUAUUCCACUGAAUGAGCACGCCACCAUUUAUCCAUUCUGUUGUCGAUCUUUUGGGUGUUUUCUGUUUGUUUACUGUUAUAAAGAAUGCUGCUAUAAAAUACAUUCUUACAUACUUUUCAUGCAAAAUUUCUCUUUAAUGCCAUGCUUCCCAAGCCAUCAUGGUGCAUCAAAAAAGAUGGUAUUUGUUCUUCAUAUUGGGCUGGCAGGCGAGUAAACUGAUCUGCGACCAGAGGGUUUUUGUGUGUGAUAAUUGGGUUCUCCUGCAAACAAGUUGGCAUGCAACAUCGGCUGUUGGCAAGUCUAAUGACCUUUUGGACGACUACAGAAAAAAUUGCCAAAUGGCUCUAAAAUAACUGGGUAUCCUGACGUCUUCAUCAACCUUUUUCGGAGCACUGUUUCCAGAAGAAAAUGAGUAGAAUGAUAUUCAUGCCUGGGAAGCCUGUUUACCUCCCCUAAGAAGUUAUUCUGCCCCACUACAGCCUGAAGAGGCAAGGCGCCAUCUACCUGUCUCCAACUUGCACGUCAGCUCCAAGGGAGACCUGGUUCACAGAUGUUGGAAUCACAGUUCAUUUUCCACUAUCUUUAUUGACACCAGUUGCUGCCAGUGCUGGUGGGCAGGCAAGAGUUGAGUAUUUAAUGCCUUUCUCUCGCCACUCCCACCUUCCCAAGAUGAGAAACAGUCACACAUAAACAAACCCAUCCAGAUGUCAAGCAUGAAACCAAACGUUAAAAUUCCAGACCUUUCUGGAAUCACCAUUCCUGAAGAUGGGGUG